UACGAAGGGUGCUAGCGUUGUUCGGAAUGACUGGGCGUAAAGGGUGCGUAGGCGGCCAGAAGCGUCUGAUGUGAAAUCCCUGGGCUUAACCUAGGAACUGCAUUGGAUCCGGUCUGGCUAGAGUCCGCGAGAGGAAGAUGGAGUUGUGCGUGUAGAGGUGAAAUUCGUAGAUAUGCACAAGAACACCGGUGGCGAAGGCGAUCUUCUGGAGCGGUACUGACGCUAAGGCACGAAAGUGUGGGGAGCAAACAGG
rnacentral:rRNA from 1 species